GGUUCCAUAACUCAGUUGGUUAGAGCGUGGUGCUAAUAACGCCAAAGUCGAGGGUUCCUCUGGAACCA
rnacentral:tRNA from 1 species